ACGGGAGGCAGCAGUGAGGAAUAUUGGUCAAUGGGCGGAAGCCUGAACCAGCCAAGUCGCGUGAAGGAUGAAGGUAUUAUGUAUUGUAAACUUCUUUAGUCGCAGAGAAAUAAGGGGAUCGUGAUCCCUGAUGCUAGUAUGCGAAGAAUAAGGAUCGGCUAACUCCGUGCCAGCAGCCGCGGUAAUACGGAGGAUCCGAGCGUUAUCCGGAUUUAUUGGGUUUAAAGGGUGCGUAGGCUGUGUGGCAAGUCAGCGGUGAAAUGCCGGAGCUCAACUCCGGAACUGCCGUUGAUACUGUCAUGCUGGAAUACGGAUGCCGUGGGAGGAAUGAGUAGUGUAGCGGUGAAAUGCAUAGAUAUUACUCAGAACACCGAUUGCGAAGGCAUCUCACGAAUCCGUCAUUGACGCUGAGGCACGAAAGCGUGGGGAUCAAACAGGAUUAGAUACCCUGGUA
rnacentral:rRNA from 1 species